GCUGGCGGGCCCCUUCGCAUGGUUCGGCGGUGAAUCUGGUCAGGUCGGGAACGAAGCAGCCAUAGUCGUUCAGAACCAGUGCCGGAGUAAGGCUCGCCUACCGGUAUCCCU
rnacentral:SRP_RNA from 3 species